GUAAGAACGGGAGAUAAUCAUAUAUUAGAGGAAUAUAGAGAAAGUUGUUCAGGACAUGGAUGGAUGGUUAGAAGGGGAGAUAAUCACAUAUAAAGGGACUACAGAGAAAGCUGCUCAGGACAUGGUUGGCAGGUAAGAAGGGGAGAUUAUCACAUAUAAAGGGAAAACUCAGAAAGAUGUUCCAGGACAUGGAUGGCAGGUAAGAAAGGGAGAUAAUCACAUAUAAACUAAAGGGAAUACUGAGAAAGCUGUUCAGGGCAUGGAUGGAAGGCAAGAAGGGUGAUAAUCAAAUAUAAAGUGAAUGCUGAGAAAGUUGUUCAGGGCAUGGAUGGAAGGCAAGAAGGGUGAUAAUCAAGUAUAAAGGGAAUACUGAGAAAGCUGUUCAGGACAUGGAUGGAAGGUAAGAAGGGGAGAUAAUCACAUACAUGUAUUGAAGGUAAGAAGGGAGAUAAUCAAAUAUAAAGGGAAUACUGAGAAAGUUGUUCAGGACAUGGAUGGAAGGUAAGAAGGGAGAUAAUCAAAUAUAAAGGGAAUACUGAGAAAGUUGUUCAGGACAUGGAUGGAAGGUAAGAAGGAAGAUAAUCACAAAUAAAGAGAAAGAGAUAAUCACAUAUGAAGUUGGGAAGUAAGAUUGGAUACAGAGAAAGCUGUUCAUGUUAUAAAUGAAAGGUUUAUAGUAGAGAUUAUCACAUGCUUUACUUUACAAUCCCCUAGUUAGGAAUUAAUGAGUAUCACCAGUACUACAAAGCAAACUGUUACAGUUUAUCAUUGUAUUUAGAUUGAGUUCAAGAUUUCAUUGUAAAUUAUUGGAAAUCAAUAUAAGGUACAAAUCAGAAAAACCUCUAAAGUAAACCUGUUCCAUAAAUGUAUGUAACAUCUGUGAUCCUCCAUUGGUAGAAAUUCUUCAGUA